rnacentral:rRNA from 1 species
CAGCAGCCGCGGUAAUACGUAGGGUGCGAGCGUUAAUCGGAAUUACUGGGCGUAAAGCGGGCGCAGACGGUUACUUAAGCAGGAUGUGAAAUCCCCGGGCUCAACCUGGGAACUGCGUUCUGAACUGGGUAACUAGAGUGUGUCAGAGGGAGGUAGAAUUCCACGUGUAGCAGUGAAAUGCGUAGAGAUGUGGAGGAAUACCGAUGGCGAAGGCAGCCUCCUGGGAUAACACUGACGUUCAUGCCCGAAAGCGUGGGUAGCAGACAGGAUUAGAUACCCCCGUAGUCCCUGUCUCUUAUAC